rnacentral:rRNA from 1 species
AUGGCCAGCCACUGUUUUCUGGCCCAACAGAUUUGCGGCGGUUUCAAGGGCUGCGAGUUCCAUCACGUCCCUCGAGUUGACGACGAGGCGGCAGACACGCUGGCCAAGAUCAGCUCCACCCGGCAGGCCAUCCCAGCCGGCGUCUCCCUCGAGCAUCUGCACAAGCUUUCCAUGAAGCCCUCCCCCGGACUCCGAAUCCAUCUUCGGCCCGGCAGACUCGAGGGCUGUUGGCUCCAACCCCGUGGCUGCUGUCUCGGUGCUCCCGGGGGUUGCCGGCUCCGGCCCAGGGGCUCUUGGCCCUGCCGGCCCCGUCAAGGCGGCCAUCCUGAUGGUAGAGGCGCCCUCUUGGGCGCAGCCAAUCCUCGCUUACCUCGUGAGUGGUGA